CAAACACAAAAAAAACUAAAAUAUUUGUGCAGUAAACGGGCAGUAAAACAUCAAAACGUCGUCAAAAAUGCGCGGAAAAUUUCGGAGGCAAUGAUGGUCAUCCAGUUCAUUGAGGAGUGACCAUCUGCUCUUGAUUUACGACUUCU
ensembl:ncRNA C03C10.12 ncRNA